ensembl:lncRNA
UUAAGCUAUAGGUCACAUGACAAUACCAGCAUGGCGGAUGUAGUACGUGUAGUUGUAGUUCAUGCUACACAUUUAUACAGAUCAGUACGUACUCUACAGCAGCAGGUACUGAAUCGAAUGCAGUAGGUACUGUCACAGUACGGGAUUUUAAACGCAGCCCAAGGUAGAAAAUCGUCUUUGCUUCCUCGACAAAAAGACUGCGAGCUGUUGUGUUUUCUCUUCACGUCACACAUAAUAGAUAUUAUACGAGUCUGGAUAGUGCUGUUGUUUCAUGUUGAUAUGUUAUGUGAAGUGAGCGGUUAGGGUUAGGGUUAGUUGUAUGUGCAGAGUUAGGGUUAGGGGUAUGUGCAGGGUUAGGGUUAGGGUUAGGGGUAUGUGCAGGGUUAGGGUUAGGGUUAGGGGUAUGUGCAGGGUUAGGGUUAGUUGUAUGUG